rnacentral:rRNA from 1 species
UCCGUAGCGUGACCUGCGGAAGGAUCAUUA